rnacentral:rRNA from 1 species
CCUACGGGAGGCAGCAGUGAGGAAUCUUCGGCAAUGGACGCAAGUCUGACCCAGCCACGCCGCGUGAAGGAAGACGGCUCUCUGAGUUUUAAACUCCUUUUGUAGAGGAGUACAAUUCGUCGCGUGUCUCUUUUUGCCUUUACUGUAUGAAUCCAGAUCGGCUCGCUCCGUUCCAUCAGCCGCGGUAAUACGUAGGUUCCGUGCGUUGUCCGGAUUGAUUGGGUUGAAAGGGAGAGUAGCGGGUUCGUUAAGUCCGAUGUGAAGUGUCGCGGCUCAACCGGACAAUGGCAGUUGAUACUGGGGGACUGGAGUGCAGUAGAGGUGGGCGGAAUUCCGGGUGUAGCGGUGAAAUGCGUAGAUAUAAGGAAGAACACC